AGUCGAACGAAGUAGCAAUACUUAGUGGCAGACGGGUGAGUAACAUGUAGGUAUCUGCCCUUUGGCCUGGAAUAACACGAGGAAACUUGUGCUAAUACCGGAUAAGUCUUUACGGAGAAAGCUUUAUGCACCAUUGGAUGAGCCUGCACUUGAUUAGUUUGUUGGUGGGGUAAUGGCCUACCAAGACUGUGAUCAAUAGCUGAUUUGAGAGGAUGAUCAGCCACAUUGGGACUGAGACACGGCCCAAACUCCUACGGGAGGCAGCAGUGGGGAAUCUUGCACAAUGGAGGAAACUCUGAUGCAGCGAUGCCGCGUGAGUGAAGAAGGCCCUUGGGUUGUAAAGCUCUUUCGUCGGGGAAGAAAAUGACUGUACCCGAAUAAGAAGGUC
rnacentral:rRNA from 1 species